rnacentral:rRNA from 1 species
UACAGAGGUGGCAAGCGUUGUUCGGAAUUACUGGGCGUAAAGGGCGCGUAGGCGGCCUUCUAAGUCGGACGUGAAAUCCCCCGGCUUAACCUGGGAACUGCGUCUGAUACUGGAAGGCUUGAGUGCGGGAGAGGGAUGUGGAAUUCCAGGUGUAGCGGUGAAAUGCGUAGAUAUUGGGAAGAACACCGGUGGCGAAAGCGCUCUGCUGGACCUGCACUGACACUGAGGGACGAAAGCUAGGGGAGCGAAAGGG